rnacentral:rRNA from 1 species
AGUCGUAACAAGGUUUCCGUAGGUGAACCUGCGGAAGGAUCAUUCAUAAUAAGUGUUUUAUGGCACUUUUUAAAUCCAUAUCCACCUUGUGUGCAAUGUUUUGAAAAUCGCCUUCUUGGUGGUUUUUUAAUUACAUCAACCAAUUUUAACAAAUUUGUCUUAAAAAUUCUUGAAUAAAUAUAAUUCAAAAAACAACUUUCAACAACGGAUCUCUUGGCUCUCGCAUCGAUGAAGAACGCAGCGAAAUGCGAUACGUAAUGUGAAUUGCAGAAUUCAGUGAAUCAUCGAAUCUUUGAACGCACAUUGCGCUCUCUGGUAUUCCGGAGAGCAUGCUUGUUUGAGUAUCAGUAAACACCUCAACUCCUUUUUUCUCUCUGGAGGGGAAAGAGUUGGACUUGAGCUAUCCCAACAGAACUCGUUUCUGGCGGGCGGCUUGAAAUGCAGGUGCAGCUGGACUUUCUUCUGAGCUAUAAGCAUAUUUAUUUAAUCCCUUAAAACGGAUUAUUACUUUUUGCUGCAGCUAAUAUAAAGGNUGAUUGNUCUCUAUGCUGACUGAUGCAGGAAUUUGGCAAAAUAUCGUCUAGGCGAUUUUUGUUAAACUCGAUCUCAAAUCAAGUAAGANUACCCGCUGAACUUNAGCAUAUCAAUAAGCGGANGAAAAGAAACUANCAAGGAUCCCCUUAGUAACGGCGAGUGAAGCGGGUGAGCUCAAAUUUAAAAUCUGGCUGGUUUACUAGUCCGAANUGUAGUUUAAAGAAGCGUUUUCGGUGGCAGCCUGGGUAUAANNCCUUUGGAAUAGGGUAUCAUAGAGGGUGAGANUCCCGUCUUUGACUCAGUGCAUGCUACUAUGUGAUACGUUUUCAAAGAGUCGAGUUGUNNNNNAUGCAGCUCAAAAUGGGUGGUAAAUUUCAUCUAAGGCUAAAUAUUGGCGAGAGACCGAUAGCGAACAAGUACCGUGAGGGAAAGAUGAAAAGAACUUUGAAAAGAGAGUUAAACAGUGCGUGAAAUUGUUGAAAGGGAAACGUUUGACACCAGUCAUGCGGGUGGGAAAUCAGUCAAUUGCAGUGGGGAGUGGUGAAGGUUCGGACCGCAAGGCCGGCCUGUGCCUCAUCUCUGCUGUAAGUGAUGCACUUUUCCAUCGGCAGGUCAACAUCAGUUUCUUCUGCUGGACAAAACUCCGAGAGAAGGUAGCAGCUUAGGCUGUGUUAUAGCUCUGGAGCGAUACAGUGGUGGGGACUGAGGUUUUCGCAGUGUGUGCUUUCGGGCAAGGCUGACCGGGUGCUAUGGGAUCGUUCAGUGUACAAUGCAUGCAUUUUGCGCUGUGUCUUUUCUAUACUCGCCUGGCUCGGCUCUUCCACACUUAGGAUGUUGACUUAAUGGUUUUAAACGACC